AAAGAUUUUAAAUAAUUGCUUGUUAAUCGAUCUUAGCGUUCGGUGUUAGUACAGUAAAUAGAAUCAAAUAGAUAGAGAAGGCGGGUUUUAAUUCGAAGAGGAUUUCGUUAACCUCUUCUUACCCUUUUUGGUCUGUCUUUUCGAUCAAUAGGAUUUGUCAGAGAAAGAGAGAGAGAGAGAGAGAGAGAGAGAGAGAGAGAGAGAAAGUGAGAGUGGUGGUGAGGAUAGGAAUAAAGUAGGUAAUUGUAGGGAAGAAGAUGAUGAGAUUCGAAUGCAAGAUAAAUGGCGAGUAUCAUGGCCUAAAAAAAAUCUAUAUACAUAUAUGUAUGCAUAUAUAUAUAUAUAUAGAUUAACGUUAUAUCCUUUACAAGAAACAUAUUCGCUUUUCAAAUGAUACUAAACCGGUGCUAAAGUUUCAUUCACGAGGGAUUAGAAAUUUAGAAAAUGUCUACGUAAGUGCGUGGGUAUAUGUGUGUGGGUGAAA